UAAAAGUAUAGGGCACAGUUGGAGUGAUCCAGAUGGGAUGAUGGCUGUCAUUUGUUUUUUUUAAAAGACGAACGCGCAUCUUGUGUGCGUCUGCAAAAACCCGGCUCCUGCGUGACCUCGUGAACUCGCCUGCAGCGUGACCUCGAAAACCAGCCACCCUGACGGCUCCACGGAACACCCCCCCCACCCCCCACAUCCCUGGGCUCAGUUGUGCAGGCUGUUACCCAGGCAGGAAGUGACAUCAACGGGUCCAAACUAAAAAAUAUGUCGCAGGACGGGGCUGUCUGGGAUGACCAGGACCGGUGGCUGUGGGGAAGGAGGAUGCCACGCACAAAGUGACGUUCACUGAAGGAUGCGGGGAGAGCGCCGCACACACACAGGCGAGCCAGACAGACGCACUGGAGGCUGAUGGCCUCCCUGGUCUGGGUGGAGCCGACGGAGAGCUGCAGACCUGGAUGGCAUCAAACCGGCCGUUCGUACCUCUGCUCCUGGCUAUCAUCACCCACUCUGGCCCUGUCAUGAUGAUCACCUAAUCUCUGCAGUGUAGUCCCAUGUAUGCAUUGCAAGGCGGCUGUGUAAUCAAGCCUGUGAACUCCACAUCUGAAGGAAGGAUUCUGUUUCUGAUCACAUCCCUAUUGAAGUGGAUCCAUUCACUGAACACGGAUGUGUUGACGUGCUCAAGCUUGCACUCCUUGAAUAUUCCACGUCUGAGGGGCCAUGAAUAAUGCCAAGGACCCGAGAGAAAGAAAGAAAAACAGACUGCACCCCUGCUCCAGUUUAUUACCACACAGCUGCACUCAGCCGGCACAGUGAGGCCCGUCAAGCCAUUAGCGAGUCCCAGCACUGAUAAUGAAGCCACUGAGGUGGUCCGAGCCAGUGUGGCGCAGGAGCUGGAGCGCAGGAGGAAGGUAGAUUAGGAUAAUUACCUGGCCAUGGGGGCACGAUGACAAAGACUCACUUCCUGCAGGCUUCAAUCGCGGAGGGGCACAAUAUAAUCAGGUGUCCUCACAUGUAUGUGCUCUACGUGUUUAUUUGCUGUUUAUGUGGUGUAGGUUCCUCACAUAAUGUAAGUAAGUCCUAAAUAUCCACACUCAUGGAGACUUUGAAGAGCCUAUGAGGUCAGGUUUUUAAAUUAUGGUCUGCACCCACACCAGGCUUUCUCUCCCCACUCCUGUUAAUCCAUUUUCCACACAAUGCAUUUCAAAUCAAAGCAGCGUCACCAUAACAUGCCUUAGGAAACAUUAAGCCAUAGUGCGCUACUUUCAUGUAUGAUAGCAUAGCCCCUGUAUGCUUUGAUGUGCUCACUUCUUUUUAAUGCUUUAUUAAUAAUAACACACUGGUUCCUUCUUAUACCAACAUCAGCUUCUGGUGCUCCUUCUUUCUCUCCUCCCGAACCACAUCCCUCGCUCCCUCCAUGCCUCGGCUCCUUCAUCCCUCCCCAGCCCCUCAGUCUUGUCUCGGGAUUGGCCUGCUUGUGUUCGGGAGCGGGAUUAGAGGGACUGAUAUAGGCCUCAAGAUGAAGAGAGUGAGAAAAGACCUAUGAGAGGGCAGAGAGUGCGGAGCGCCGCAUCACCAUUGGUUGCUGUGCAAAUCAGACACGUCUUCAUUUCCUCCAACCAUCCUCUGCGAGUGCCCGGCUUUCAUUUCCAUGCCCGGGGAGGGUAGCCGAAAGA